GGAACGGGAAAUGAGUAGCUCGGCAUCCAACCUUGUGCAAAUGGGGUCUUUCAUGCUGUCGUGCCUGUUGAGGGACCCUCGUAUAAAAAGGCUGAAGGAGAACGACCUGUACUGGGUGUCCACGCUACUAGACCCCCGGUAUAAGCAGAAAGUGGCGGAAAUGUUACCGAAUUACAGCAAGUAUGAAAGGAUGCAGCAUUUAGAAAAUAAAUUGAAAAGUAUGCUUUACACAGCGUAUAAGGGUGAUGUCACAGCACAACGGGAAUCUAACAGGGGGAGAGGUGGAAGUCAUCCUCCUCCUCCCAUGACCACGCCGGCAAGGAC